rnacentral:misc_RNA from 1 species
GUGAAGAACGUAGCGAAAUGCGAUAAGUAAUGUGAAUUGCAGAAUUCAGUGAAUCAUCGAAUCUUUGAACGCACAUUGCGCCCGCCAGUAUUCUGGCGGGCAUGCCUGUUCGAGCGUCAUUUCAACCCUCAAGCCCCCGGGCUUGGUGUUGGGGAUCGGCGUGCCCUCGCGGCGCGCCGUCCCCUAAAUCUAGUGGCGGUCUCGCUGUAGCUUCCUCUGCGUAGUAGCAACACUCGCACUGGAUCGCAGCGCGGCCACGCCGUUAAACCCCCCACUUCUGAAAGUUUGACCUCGGAUCAGGUAGGAAUACCCGCUGAACUUAAGCAUAUCAAUAAGCGGAGGA